rnacentral:rRNA from 1 species
UACGUAGGGUGCGAGCGUUGUCCGGAAUUAUUGGGCGUAAAGGGCUCGUAGGCGGUUUGUCGCGUCGGGAGUGAAAACUCAGGGCUUAACCCUGAGCCUGCUUCCGAUACGGGCAGACUAGAGUACUGCAGGGGAGACUGGAAUUCCUGGUGUAGCGGUGGAAUGCGCAGAUAUCAGGAGGAACACCGGUGGCGAAGGCGGGUCUCUGGGCAGUAACUGACGCUGAGGAGCGAAAGCGUGGGGAGCGAACAGG